rnacentral:rRNA from 1 species
UACGUAGGGUGCGAGCGUUAAUCGGAAUUACUGGGCGUAAAGCGUGCGCAGGCGGUUUUGUAAGCCAGAUGUGAAAUCCCCGGGCUCAACCUGGGAAUGGCAUUUGGGACUGCAAGGCUCGAGUGCGGCAGAGGAGACUGGAAUUCCUGGUGUAGCAGUGAAAUGCGUAGAUAUCAGGAGGAAUACCGAUGGCGAAGGCAGGUCUCUGGGCUGACACUGACGCUCAUGCACGAAAGCGUGGGGAGCAACCAGG